AGCGGAAGUGACCAAGGCAGCAUCUCUGGGCAAGUGGAGCGGCUCAGGAUGCAGCUCAGUGGCAGGGGAUGAGGCUGCACUGUGGCACCGGGUUCCAGCCCUGAUCUCGGAGGGGAGAGCCUGGUGCGCGGGUCCGGCCUCCUGCGCCUCCUCGAAGCCCUUCAGCCCCUCCUCUGUGAGACGCGAAGGGAGCCGGCGGCCGAGAGCUGCGGUCGCCGUAAAGGCGAACAAUCAGACUCCUCAGAGCUCGGUGGAGGGGCGAGAGCCAGCAGAGCGCAGCCGGCGGAGGGUGCACGCCUGUAAUCCCAGCACGCAGGAGGCUGAGGCAGGAGGGUCGCCACAAGUUUGAGACCAGCCUCGGCUAAAUAGCGGAUCCUGUCUCAAAAAAACCCCAAACAAACACAGAGCGGAGGCAGAGGGUGGGGUCGGGGAUUGAGUGGUUGGCACCGGGUUGGGGGCGGGCUCAGGGCUGCCACGCCCGGAGCGGCCACUCGGGGGCGCGAGCGGCCGGUUCCCGGCACCUGCCCUCGGGCCGCAGCCCUGCUGUCCCCCAAAGGGCUGGUGAUCCAAGCCUGGGAACCGGACCAGGCGAUCAGCGCGUGCCCCAGCAGGCCGAGGGUGCCUCCCAGCCUGUCCCGCGUGUCCUCCACCGCAGCAGCCUCCGACUCCCCAGUAGCGGGCCAAGGCCCCGGACCAUUGCGGGGCCUCGAGAGCGCCCGUCUCCGCGUCUGCACCCCUAGCCUCGCUCGGCUCCGGAGGGACCUGGUGCGCCUGCUUCAGACCCCGCUCCGGCGACCUGGUGGGCACAGCCUCCGCUGCUCCACCCCGGAAAGGCACCGGAGCGAAGGGGCGGCAUCUGCUUGGAGGGGAGAAGAUUCGGGGGUCCCAGGAAAGCGUCAUUCCCAGGCCGCCCGCGUCCUCUCCCCUCACAGCAGCUGGAGUCCCGCUCUGGGGGCCUGCGGAGGGGGCCGAGGCCAACCUGGGCAACUUAGCAAGACCUUGCAGCCCCCAAAAACAAGGCCCAGGGCGCAGCGCAGCGGCUGAGAGCUCCGGUUCCAUCCCAGGACUGUGGAACAGCACCACGCACCCAGCUGCGGCUGUACCGACAAGCAGGCAGCUCCGGAAGUGGAGCACGGGCCUCUCCGGGCGGACGAGGGCUCCACAGGGGAAGGCCAGGCCAGGCGCCGUCGCCGGCAGCAGCGGGACGGCCGCUUGCACCUUGCCCCUGGAGUGGCCAAGGCUGGGUGCCC
rnacentral:lncRNA from 1 species